AUGCACCUAGACGGAGGAAGUAUAGUACUCGCAAACAAAGGUUGCCCACCAAACCGAAAAGCGAGGAUGAGCCUGGGAGGAAAAGCAUGGAGCAAAGGUGGGGGGGGGGGGGGGGGACAGUGCCGAGAAGGGAUUUUUUUAAUUUACCGGGCAAUUCACCGGCGCCAUCCGACACCAGCUACUCUAGCCCUUCUUUCGCGGUGCAGCGCCAUAAUCUUAGAUCUGACCCUUCCGCCCCAAGAAUUCAUCACAUCAAACACCUCUCGCCUCUCCCGGACACCCAAAGUCUCAGCAUCCCUAUUCCCCCUACCUCUCCUACCCUUCCUCGAGCGCGUCUCCAUGUCGAAGAAAGGCACCGGCGAUGAGGAGAGCGUGGUCGUGUCGGUGCAGACGAGAAAGGCCAAGCGAGGCCCUCCCCGAAAGCGCAACCCGUGCCCCAGAAUCCGCUGCGUCGGCGGCCGGAUCUAUGACCCGAAGAACGGGAAGACCUGCCACCAGUGUCGUCAGAAGACAACAGACUUCAUGGUGGCUUGCAGGCAGCCUCGAAAGAAGGGGCUUUGUCCAAUCCACUUCUGCCACAAGUGCUUGUCCAACAGGUAUGGUGAGGAUGCCAAGGACAAGGCCAAGGAGGCGGGCUGGACCUGCCCGAAAUGCAGGGGCAUCUGCAACUGCAGCUUGUGCAGAAAGAAGAAAGGGGAGACACCUACAGGAAUACUGGCUCAUGCCGCCAAGGCGUUAGGGCACUCAUCCGUCCAUGAUCUGCUGAUAAAGCGCUCCGAGAUGGUGGCUGCUGCACAGACAUUGUCCUCAUUCCCUAAGAAGAUCAAGAAGGUAUAA
rnacentral:rRNA from 1 species